CAAAUUAUUGUGCUACGUGUCUUUGACCAGCCCUGUCGUUUCAGAUAUCAAUUAGUAUGAAAAAUGGUGUACCAAGAAAAAGUUUGUUCUUUCUGUUAGACUCCCACGUAGGCAGUAUACGAAAAAAGUAUCACGAUUACCUGCAACAACGGGCACAUUCGCCGCCAUCUUUACUCUGACCAUGUGCAACGUAAAUGAAAAUAGAUUAGGAAUAUCGGUGUUUUCUUACAGAAGUGCUUUGAAAUGCGUGUCCCAUGUCAUGCUGCUGUUUUAUUUGUCUGGUAAUGCCUAAGAAUGGUGGUGUUAAUCGAGGGAAUAUGCUCGAACUAAGAAACUGUAUGUAAUAUAACUGAGACUGCUGCCCGAUACGUUCCAGGUGACUGACCUUGUAUAUGUGUAUCCCAUCCCUAUGGCAUGAAGUUCUCAGCAGCAUCAGGUGUCUGUUGUGCCACUGUGUAGUAAGCGCUAGCUGUGCAGUGCUCAAGUACUGAAAUGAAAAUGCUGCCUGCGGCAAUGUGAACACCAACUAUUGAUCCCCUAAAUGACAUUGUAGCUGGAAAGUAUGUAAUAUAUAAUUUAUUUGCAUUUAUCAUUGUGCAGAAGACAAACAGCAUUGCACAGAAAGAGAAAUUUAGCUUUAAUAUACUGUCAACAAUAAGGUUAUUCAUUAGAAUCGUACCACAAACUCAAAUUGGAGAAGAAUGGGAAACACAGUAAGCUGCAUCUUAAUUCAAAAGAAGCGUCUCGAUAUUUCUAUUCAGUGUUUUUGGGAAAUGAUAGCACUCGUAAAUCUGAAUGACUGAACAGAAAUUUUAUUCCUCCUCCAUCCAAAUGCAAGACCAGUGCCUUAACCACUAUGCCACUUUUAAAAUAAUGCACAACAACAUUAAUGAACAUUCACAAUUGCAUUAUUGUUACUGUGACUUUUAAAUAAAGUUGUUGUACAUGCA